UAGCUCAGACGGUAAAGCGUCUGCCUACAAUGCAGGAGACCUGGGUUCAAUCCCUG
rnacentral:tRNA from 1 species